rnacentral:rRNA from 1 species
CCUACGGGAGGCAGCAGUAAGGAAUAUUGGUCAAUGGGGGCAACCCUGAACCAGCCAUGCCGCGUGCAGGAAGACGGCCCUACGGGUUGUAAACUGCUUUUAUACGGGAAUAAAUCGCUCUACGUGUAGAGUGUUGAAUGUACUGUAAGAAUAAGGAUCGGCUAACUCCGUGCCAGCAGCUCGCCGUA